UGUAAGAUCAUCCCUGGGUGCAUCAAAAAUGUGGACCACUGCCUGCAAGGGAGCGGAAAUUGACUGGAACCCUGUCAUAAGCAAAGUCACAGCAGAGUUGCCCUGCAGCCUCGUCGGCAAAGAGCAGGAAAUUCUGAAAAAAGCCUUAAAAAUGCUCCGAAACAGGAGGGAGGACCUCCGAAGGUCAGGAAAGAAGAGAGAAGGACUUCAGCUUCACUCCAACGACAUGUAAGACUGCUGAAAAAAGGUUGGAGAACAGUGGCCCUUGGAGAAAGAACAGAAGCACUUGAGGUUUGCCUCCAGGACAUCACACCUCCUAUUAAGCGCCUUUACAAAGCAGGAGAAAGAGUGAAAUGGAGGAAAAAAUACAUAGAUGGGUCAAGUAAGCAGCAGGAGCAAAGAGCAGAAGAGGAAAUAGGAAAGAAGAAGGGAGAGGAAAAGAGAGAGAGAG